rnacentral:rRNA from 1 species
GACGAACGCUGGCGGCGCGCCUAACACAUGCAAGUCGAACGGAAAGGCCUGCUUUCCCUUGUGGAUUGCGGGUACUCGAGUGGCGAACGGGUGAGUAACACGUGAGUGAUCUGCCCCCAACUUGGGUAUAAGCCUGGGAAACUGGGUCUAAUUCCCGAUAGGACUGCAGGGUGGUGCCUGUGGUGGAAAACGAUUUUCUAGUGGUUGGGGAUGAGCUCGCGGCCUAUCAGCUUGUUGGUGGGGUAAUGGCCUACCAAGGCGGCGACGGGUAGCCGGCCUGAGAGGGUGGACGGCCACAUUGGGACUGAGAUACGGCCCAGACUCCUACGGGAGGCAGCAGUGGGGAAUAUUGCACAAUGGGCGGAAGCCUGAUGCAGCGACGCCGCGUGGGGGAUGACGGCCUUCGGGUUGUAAACUCCUUUCGACCGCGAGGGAGCCGCCUGGUUGGAAGGGUGGUGACGGUAGUGGUAGAAGAAGCACCGGCUAACUACGUG